rnacentral:rRNA from 2 species
AAAUUGAAGAGUUUGAUCAUGGCUCAGAUUGAACGCUGGCGGCAGGCCUAACACAUGCAAGUCGAACGGUAACAGGAAACAGCUUGCUGUUUCGCUGACGAGUGGCGGACGGGUGAGUAAUGUCUGGGAAACUGCCUGAUGGAGGGGGAUAACUACUGGAAACGGUAGCUAAUACCGCAUAACGUCGCAAGACCAAAGAGGGGGACCUUCGGGCCUCUUGCCAUCGGAUGUGCCCA